rnacentral:rRNA from 1 species
AUUGAACGCUGGCGGCAGGCCUAACACAUGCAAGUCGAGCGAGCGGCGGACGGGUGAGUAAUGUUUGGGGACAGCCUGAUAGAGGGGGAUAACUUCUGGAAACGGUGGCUAAUACCGCAUACUAUCGAAAAACCCAUAUGGGAUUAGCUAGUUGGGGGGGUAACGUCUCACCAAGGCGAGGAUCUCUAGCUGGUCUGAGAGGAUGAUCAGCCACACUGGGACUGAGAAACGGCCCAGACUCCUACGGAGGCAGCAGUGGGGAAUAUUGAACAAUGGGCGCAAGCCUGAUGCAGCCAUGCCGCGUGUAUGAAGAAGGCCUUAGGGUUGUAAAGUACUUUCAGCCGGGAGGCGUUACCCGCAGAAGAAGCACCGGCUAACUCCGUGCCAGCAGCCGCGGUAAUAC